GACGAACGCUGGCGGCGUGCUUAACACAUGCAAGUCGAACGGAACUUCUUGGAUUGAGGCUUCGGCCAAAUGAAAUGAAGUUUAGUGGCGGACGGGUGAGUAACGCGUGAGUAACCUGCCUUUCAGAGGGGGACAACAGUUGGAAACGACUGCUAAUACCGCAUAACGUAUGAUGAGGGCAUCCUCGACAUACCAAAGAUUUAUCGCUGAAAGAUGGACUCGCGUCUGAUUAGAUAGUUGGCGGGGUAACGGCCCACCAAGUCGACGAUCAGUAGCCGGACUGAGAGGUUGAACGGCCACAUUGGGACUGAGAUACGGCCCAG
rnacentral:rRNA from 1 species